GAUCAAAACUUCAAAUGUUAAGGUAUGUCUUCCAACAAAUUGUAAAUUUUUAUUUUACUGGAAGAAAUAUAGUGCGUGAAACAGACAGGCAUCCUUUGGUUUAACAUUUGUUUGCAUGGUGCAUUUGAAAAUGUUUUACCUUUUGGUUACCACAUAGAACUGCAACCGCUUGUUCAUAUGCAAAUUAUUUAGGCUUACAUCAAUUACUAAACAUCACAAUUUUCUGGCCAUCAGUUUUGAGCUAAUGUCGCUACUAGUGGCUGUAAAAGCAGUGUUACCUUGUGUGUAUUUUGAUCUAUUUCGGGCUCAAAUUGUUGAGAAUCAUAAUUGUGUUGACCUAAUUCGGAUCAAUCUUGGGUUGCUGAAGUUGAGCACACUGAAAGGACG
rnacentral:misc_RNA from 1 species